rnacentral:rRNA from 1 species
AACGAACGCUGGCGGCAUGCUUAACACAUGCAAGUUGAACGAAUCAUUUGGAGCUUGCUUCAAAUAAAUUAGUAGCAAACGGGUGAGUAACACGUAGGAAUCUACCCAUCAGUACGGAAUAACUUUUGGAAACAAAAGCUAAUACCGUAUAUUCUCUCUGGAGGAAAGAUUUAUCGCUGAUGGAUGAGCCUGCGUCAGAUUAGGUAGUUGGUAGGGUAAUGGCUUACCAAGCCGACGAUCUGUAGCUGGUCUGAGAGGAUGAUCAGCCACACUGGGACUGAGACACGGCCCAGACUCCUACGGGAGGCAGCAGUGGGGAAUAUUGGACAAUGGGCGAAAGCCUGAUCCAGCAAUGCCGCGUGAAUGAUGGAGGCCUUAGGGUUGUAAAGUUCUUUUAGUUAGGGAAGAUAAUGACGGUACCUACAGAAAAAGUACCCGGCUAACUCCGUGCAGCAGCCGCGGUAAAG